rnacentral:piRNA from 1 species
UGACAUCAGUCAGGCCCGCCCGCAGU